AUGAACGCUAGCUACAGGCUUAACACAUGCAAGUCGAGGGGCAGCAUGGUCUUAGCUUGCUAAGACUGAUGGCGACCGGCGCACGGGUGAGUAACACGUAUCCAACCUGCCGUCUACUCUUGGACAGCCUUCUGAAAGGAAGAUUAAUACAAGAUGGCAUCAUGAGUCCGCAUGUUCACAUGAUUAAAGGUAUUCCGGUAGACGAUGGGGAUGCGUUCCAUUAGAUAGUAGGCGGGGUAACGGCCCACCUAGUCUUCGAUGGAUAGGGGUUCUGAGAGGAAGGUCCCCCACAUUGGAACUGAGACACGGUCCAAACUCCUACGGGAGGCAGCAGUGAGGAAUAUUGGUCAAUGGGCGAGAGCCUGAACCAGCCAAGUAGCGUGAAGGAUGACUGCCCUAUGGGUUGUAAACUUCUUUUAUAAAGGAAUAAAGUCGGGUAUGUAUACCCGUUUGCAUGUACUUUAUGAAUAAGGAUCGGCUAACUCCGUGCCAGCAGCCGCGGUAAUACGGAGGAUCCGAGCGUUAUCCGGAUUUAUUGGGUUUAAAGGGAGCGUAGAUGGAUGUUUAAGUCAGUUGUGAAAGUUUGCGGCUCAACCGUAAAAUUGCAGUUGAUACUGGAUAUCUUGAGUGCAGUUGAGGCAGGCGGAAUUCGUGGUGUAGCGGUGAAAUGCUUAGAUAUCACGAAGAACUCCGAUUGCGAAGGCAGCCUGCUAAGCUGCAACUGACAUUGAGGCUCGAAAGUGUGGGUAUCAAACAGGAUUAGAUACCCUGGUAGUCCACACGGUAAACGAUGAAUACUCGCUGUUUGCGAUAUACGGCAAGCGGCCAAGCGAAAGCGUUAAGUAUUCCACCUGGGGAGUACGCCGGCAACGGUGAAACUCAAAGGAAUUGACGGGGGCCCGCACAAGCGGAGGAACAUGUGGUUUAAUUCGAUGAUACGCGAGGAACCUUACCCGGGCUUGAAAGUUAGCGACGAUUCUUGAAAGAGGAUUUCCCUUCGGGGCGCGAAACUAGGUGCUGCAUGGUUGUCGUCAGCUCGUGUCGUGAGAUGUUGGGUUAAGUCCCGCAACGAGCGCAACCCUUAUUCUUAGUAGCCAGCAGGUAAAGCUGGGCACUCUAAGGAGACUGCCGGGGAUAACCCGGAGGAAGGUGGGGAUGACGUCAAAUCAUCAUGCCCUUUAUGUCCUGGGCUACACACGUACUACAAUGGCGUUAAACAAAGAGAAGCAAGACCGCGAGGUGGAGCAAAACUCAAAAACAACGUCUCAGUUCAGAUUGCAGGCUGCAACUCGCCUGCAUGAAGUCGGAAUUGCUAGUAAUCGCGGAUCAGCAUGCCGCGGUGAAUACGUUCCCGGGCCUUGUACACACCGCCCGUCACACCACGAAAGUUGGUAACACCCGAAGCCGGUGAGGUAACCUUUUAGGAGCCAGCCGUCUAAGGUGGGGCCGAUGAUUGGGGUG
rnacentral:rRNA from 1 species